UCCCGUUAGUGAACCUGCGGAGGGAUCAUUACCGAGUUUACAACUCCCAAACCCCUGUGAACAUACCUAUACGUUGCCUCGGCGGAUCAGCCCGCGCCCCGUAAAAAGGGACGGCCCGCCCGAGGACCCCUAAACUCUGUUUUUAGUGGAACUUCUGAGUAAAACAAACAAAUAAAUCAAAACUUUCAACAACGGAUCUCUUGGUUCUGGCAUCGAUGAAGAACGCAGCAAAAUGCGAUAAGUAAUGUGAAUUGCAGAAUUCAGUGAAUCAUCGAAUCUUUGAACGCACAUUGCGCCCGCCAGUAUUCUGGCGGGCAUGCCUGUUCGAGCGUCAUUUCAACCCUCAAGCUCAGCUUGGUGUUGGGACUCGCGGUAACCCGCGUUCCCCAAAUCGAUUGGCGGUCACGUCGAGCUUCCAUAGCGUAGUAAUCAUACACCUCGUUACUGGUAAUCGUCGCGGCCACGCCGUAAAACCCCAACUUCUGAAUGUUGACCUCGGAUCAGGUAGGAUACAGGCUGACUAGAGC
rnacentral:rRNA from 1 species